GGAAAUUCUACUUUUCAUUUUGUAAAAAAAGAAAAACAAUUCUACAAAGUUUUGUUAGGCGUGUGACAGAUCAUUUUUCUCUCUCUCUGAUGUAACAAAUGGAAAGUUCUCUUAACGUCAGCAUACCUGUUUUCAUUGGCACAGACUGAGGCCUAUCAGAGGAGGAGACUUGGCUGAUUUCCACAUUGAAAUUCUACCUUCUGUACAAGCACUGUAGGAGUGGCGUUGAGGCAAAGAUAAUCUGGCAAAUGAUCAAGAAUCUCAAGUGUCAACAAACCAGAUUUUUCUUAGUUGAGCAGAGCUGAUGGCAGUGAAACACUGAAGACAUUUCUGAUUUCGCUUUGUGAUGUCGGAGGAGAAGCUGAAGUCCAGACAACACCAGAGGGUUUUCUGGCCGUGCCAAAAUGAGGCCCUGUGAUGGAUGCCAUCUUGGAAGCAUCACAGAUCAGCACAUACCAGAGACUGGAGCGACCAGCUGCUCUAGUUUCACAGAGCGCCUCAUCAGUGCAGACUUCAGCCAUUACCACAAACCUACAAAUGAUGACCUGCAGAUGGAUGCGGUGGAGUUUUCCACGAUUCUUUAUCUGCUGAUGAAUCACAACCUAGACCUGAUAAACUUUAACUUGGAGAAUAAAAUCGUCAAAAAUGCUUGCGUGAGAACCAACAGUAAAGGGCUGGACGUAAAAUUCUAGACUCCACCCUCAGCAUUAAAGUCAUGACAUUAUCAGCUGGAGAAUAGUCACGAAUCCUAGAAAGGUGUUCCCUCGAUGGAAAACCUUGGAUCCAAAAUGAAGUUAUUGGACCACAAUUCUUCCAACUAACCUGCCUUGAAGUCAUGUUAAUGAUUCAAAGCUCUUCAAACUUUGAAGAUCAUUAUUUAAAUCACGUCAGAAAGUGAGGACUGCUGUUGAACCUUAUUUUCCAAGGUGCCUUCAGAGCAGAUGGAUUGAUUUAGCACAGGUUUUAUGCUGGACCACAACCCAAACUCAGCUGAAACAGUUCAAAUUUAACUGUGGGAUUCUCUCUUCUGCAUAUGUCUUUAGGUGUAAGUCAUUGCUACACCUUACAGUACGAAUGGCAUCCCGGUGUGUUAUGUAGCAUUGUAUAGUCUCAACAUUAAAGCUUUUUAAGGGUCUGUACAGAUACAACUGGAAUCAAGUGUAGGUAACUUCUAGUUUGCUAAAGCCCCCAUGUUAACAAUUUGUAUUGUAGUUAUGACUUCUGUCACAUAUGUAAAGAGCAACAGAGACAGAGUGUGCCGGUGAAAAUCUGGGACAUCUCUUCCCCGAAAAGCACCAGCUGUGCUUGUAGUCGACUGGUUUUGUCUUCACUUUACACUUUUGCUCAUGUUAACAGAUUCCACAAACAUUUAAACAAACCUGGGGGGCGGGGGUGGGUUAUUUCCAUUAACAGCCGGCUGCUGUUGGUUUUCUCAAAAACAAGGGACUUUUUUGGGGAUGACUUUCAGUGGUCGAAUAAUCCGCAUUUUUU
ensembl:lncRNA